AUUGAACGCUGGCGGCAGGCCUAACACAUGCAAGUCGAGCGGAUGAAGGGAGCUUGCUCCUGGAUUCAGCGGCGGACGGGUGAGUAAUGCCUAGGAAUCUGCCUGGUAGUGGGGGAUAACGUCCGGAAACGGGCGCUAAUACCGCAUACGUCCUGAGGGAGAAAGUGGGGGAUCUUCGGACCUCACGCUAUCAGAUGAGCCUAGGUCGGAUUAGCUAGUUGGUGGGGUAAAGGCCUACCAAGGCGACGAUCCGUCACUGGUCUGAGAGGAUGAUCAGUCACAGGGGAACGGGAACGAGGACCAACCUCAGACGGGAGGCACCGGGGGGAAUUAUUGGGGAAGGGGCAGAAGCGUAUACGGCCCAAGCGGGGGGGGCAAGAAGGAUCUUCGGAUUGUAAAGGAUUUUAAUUUGGGGAGAGGAAACUUCAUUUAUCACGUUAGUAUUAUGACGUUACCAAAUGAAUAAGCACGGGCUAACUCCGUG
rnacentral:rRNA from 1 species